rnacentral:ncRNA from 2 species
AAUCUUUAACAAGUACAUAGAUUUUAUGCUUUGCAUAGGAAGUCGGGUGAAAAUCCCGCACAGGGACGCUACUGUGAUAAUUAAUAGACUCUUUUUUACCACUGUUUUAUAAAAUGGGAAGGUUGGGUCUUCUAAUAAGUUUUAUUAGAAUUUAAGUCAGGAUACAUCUAUGUAAUAUAUGCUUAU